UCUCCGUUGGUGAACCAGCGGUGGGAUCAUUACUGAGUGAGGGCCUUCGGGCUCGACCUCCAACCCUUUUGUGAACCACCUCGUUGCUUCGGGGGCGACCCUGCCGUUCGCGGCGUGGGACCCCCGGAGCCCAUCAAACCCUGCGUAACUAAGUCGUCGGAGUUUAAACAAAUUAAACAAAACUUUCAACGACGGAUCUCUUGGUUCGGGCAUCGAUGAAGAACGCAGC
rnacentral:misc_RNA from 1 species